rnacentral:rRNA from 1 species
ACGAGUGUGAGAUGUUUAUCAUCCACGCACGGCCGAAAGGCGUAGUCGAUGGGAAACAGGUUAAUAUUCCUGUACUUGGUGUUACUGCGAAGGGGGGACGGAGAAGGCUAUGUUGGCCGGGCGACGGUUGUCCCGGUUUAAGCGUGUAGGCUGGUUUUCCAGGCAAAUCCGGAAUAUCAAGGCUGAGGCGUGAUGACGAGGCACUACGGUGCUGAAGCAACAAAUGCCCUGCUUCCAGGAAAAGCCUCUAAGCAUCAGGUAACAUCAAAUCGUACCCCAAAACCGACACAGGUGGUCAGGUAGAGAAUACCAAGGCGCUUGAGAGAACUCGGGUGAAGGAACUAGGCAAAAUGGUGCCGUAACUUCGGGAGAAGGCACGCUGAUAUGUAGGUGAAGUCCCUCGCGGAUGGAGCUGAAAUCAGUCGAAGAUACCAGCUGGCUGCAACUGUUUAUUAAAAACACAGCACUGUGCAAACACGAAAGUGGACGUAUACGGUGUGACGCCUGCCCGGUGCCGGAAGGUUAAUUGAUGGGGUUAGCGCAAGCGAAGCUCUUGAUCGAAGCCCCGGUAAACGGCGGCCGUAACUAUAACGGUCCUAAGGUAGCGAAAUUCCUUGUCGGGUAAGUUCCGACCUGCACGAAUGGCGUAAUGAUGGCCAGGCUGUCUCCACCCGAGACUCAGUGAAAUUGAACUCGCUGUGAAGAUGCAGUGUACCCGCGGCAAGACGGAAAGACCCCGUGAACCUUUACUAUAGCUUGACACUGAACAUUGAGCCUUGAUGUGUAGGAUAGGUGGGAGGCUUUGAAGUGUGGACGCCAGUCUGCAUGGAGCCGACCUUGAAAUACCACCCUUUAAUGUUUGAUGUUCUAACGUUGACCCGUGAUCCGGGUUGCGGACAGUGUCUGGUGGGUAGUUUGACUGGGGCGGUCUCCUCCUAAAGAGUAACGGAGGAGCACGAAGGUUGGCUAAUCCUGGUCGGACAUCAGGAGGUUAGUGCAAUGGCAUAAGCCAGCUUGACUGCGAGCGUGACGGCGCGAGCAGGUGCGAAAGCAGGUCAUAGUGAUCCGGUGGUUCUGAAUGGAAGGGCCAUCGCUCAACGGAUAAAAGGUACUCCGGGGAUAACAGGCUGAUACCGCCCAAGAGUUCAUAUCGACGGCGGUGUUUGGCACCUCGAUGUCGGCUCAUCACAUCCUGGGGCUGAAGUAGGUCCCAAGGGUAUGGCUGUUCGCCAUUUAAAGUGGUACGCGAGCUGGGUUUAGAACGUCGUGAGACAGUUCGGUCCCUAUCUGCCGUGGGCGCUGGAGAAUUGAGGGGGGCUGCUCCUAGUACGAGAGGACCGGAGUGGACGCAUCACUGGUGUUCGGGUUGUCAUGCCAAUGGCACUGCCCGGUAGCUAAAUGCGGAAGAGAUAAGUGCUGAAAGCAUCUAAGCACGAAACUUGCCCCGAGAUGAGUUCUCCCUGACUCCUUGAGAGUCCUGAAGGAACGUUGAAGACGACGACGUUGAUAGGCCGGGUGUGUAAGCGCAGCGAUGCGUUGAGCUAACCGGUACUAAUGAACCGUGAGGCUUAACCUU